rnacentral:rRNA from 1 species
CCUACGGGAGGCAGCAGUAGGGAAUCUUCCACAAUGGGCGAAAGCCUGAUGGAGCAACGCCGCGUGGGUGAAGAAGGUCUUCGGAUCGUAAAACCCUGUUGUUAGAGAAGAAAGUGCGUGAGAGUAACUGUUCACGUUUCGACGGUAUCUAACCAGAAAGCCACGGCUAACUACGUGCCAGCAGCCGCGGUAAUACGUAGGUGGCAAGCGUUAUCCGGAUUUAUUGGGCAUAAAGGGAACGCAGGCGGUCUUUUAAGUCUGAUGUGAAAGCCUUCGGCUUAACCGGAGUAGUGCAUUGGAAACUGGGAGACGUGAGUGCAGAAGAGGAGAGUGGAACUCCAUGUGUAGCGGUGAAAUGCGUAGAUAUAUGGAAGAACACCAGUGGUGAAAGCGGCUCUCUGGUCUGUAACUGACGCUGAGGUUCGAAAGCGUGGGUAGCAAACAGGAUUAGAUACCCUUGUAGUC